rnacentral:lncRNA from 1 species
UUUGGAUGAACACUUUGUUAGAAGUGAUAAUAUAAUUAUGAAACAUGCCUCAGCAAUUAGAUGUCCCCUUUCGCUGCCAUCUAAAUCUCAAAUAAAUAAAUGUUGUUGCAGUACUGAUAUUUCUAUUUUCUCACUUAAUCAGUUACCUGGUCAUCAAUUACUCUCAGUCGAAUAUAUUCUUGCCUGUACAUUGAGUCAUACAUCGCUUGUAGGUAUCCUUCAAUGUACAACUGCAGAAGUUGAAACCUUAUCAGUGACCAUUAAAGCAAAAGUAAAACAAAUAGAUUAAUAACUUCAGAAAAAAUCAGCAUCCAUUGAGCAGUGAG